rnacentral:rRNA from 1 species
GAUCCUGGCUCAGAAUCAACGCUGGCGGCGUGCCUAACACAUGCAAGUCGAACGCGGUUUUCCCGCAAGGGAAGACUGAGUGGCAAACGGGUGAGUAACACGUGGGUGACCUGCCUUCGAGUGGGGGAUAACGUUCCGAAAGGGGCGCUAAUACCGCAUAACAUCCUGUUUUUUAACAGAUGGAGAUCAAAGCCUGGGACCGUAAGGCCAGGCGCUUGAAGAGGGGCCCGCGCCUGAUUAGCUAGUUGGUGGGGUAAUGGCUCACCAAGGCAACGAUCAGUAUCCGGCCUGAGAGGGCGGACGGACACACUGGGACUGAGACACGGCCCAGACUCCUACGGGAGGCAGCAGUGGGGAAUUGUUCGCAAUGGGCGCAAGCCUGACGACGCAACGCCGCGUGGAGGAUGAAGAUCUUCGGGUCGUAAACUCCUUUCGAUCGAGACGAAUAGCCUUCGGGUUAAUAGCCUGGAGGAAUGACGGUACCGAGAGAAGAAGCCCCGGCUAACUCCGUGCCAGCAGCCGCGGUAAUACGGGGGGGGCAAGCGUUGUUCGGAAUUACUGGGCGUAAAGGGCUCGUAGGUGGCCAACUAAGUCAAACGUGAAAUCCCUCGGCUUAACCGGGGAACUGCGUUUGAUACUGGAUGGCUUGAGUUUGGGAGAGGGAUGCGGAAUUCCAGGUGUAGCGGUGAA